rnacentral:rRNA from 1 species
UACGGGGGAUGCGAGCGUUAUCCGGAUUUAUUGGGUUUAAAGGGUGCGUAGGCGGCGCUUCAGGUCAGCGGUGAAAGCCCGGGGCUCAACCCCGGGACUGCAUUUGGAACUGUAUGGCUGGAGUGUCGGAGAGGCAGGCGGAAUUCCUAGUGUAGCGGUGAAAUGCGUAGAUAUUAGGAGGAACACCAGUGGCGAAGGCGGCUUACUGGACUGUAACUGACACUGAGGCUCGAAAGCGUGGGGAGCAAACAGG